rnacentral:rRNA from 1 species
GUCCUAGCCGUAAACGAUGCAUACUAGAAGUAGGAAGGCUCAACCCUUUCUGUUUCGGAGCUAACGCGUUAAGUAUGCCACCUGGGGAGUACGCUCGCAAGGGUGAAACUCAAAAGAAUUGACGGGGGCCCGCACAAGCAGUGGAGCAUGUGGUUUAAUUCGAUGCAACGCGAAGAACCUUACCUGGGCUCGAAAUGUAGAGGACGAAUUGAGAGAUUGAUUUUCCCGAAAGGGUCUCUAUAUAGGUGCUGCAUGGCUGUCGU